AAGACUGACGCUCAGGUGCGAAAGCGUGGGGAGCAAACAGGAUUAGAUACCCUGGUAGUCCACGCUGUAAACGAUGUCAACUUGGAGGCUGUGGCCUUUGACCGCGGCUUCUGGAGCUAACGCGUUAAAUCGACCGCCUGGGGAGUACGGCCGCAAGGUUAAAACUCAAAUGAAUUGACGGGGGCCCGCACAAGCGGUGGAGCAUGUGGUUUAAUUCGAUGCAACGCGAAGAACCUUACCUACUCUUGACAUCCAAAGAAUCCUUUAGAGAUGGAUGAGUGCCUUCGGGAACUCUGAUACAGGUGCUGCAUGGCUGUCGUCAGCUCGUGUUGUGAAAUGUUGGGUUAAGUCCCGCAACGAGCGCAACCCUUGUCCUUUGUUGCCAGCACUUCAUGGGGGAAAUUCAAAGGAAACGGCCGGGGUAAACCCGAAGGAAGGGGGGAAUGACUCCAAGCCUUCUGGGCCCUUACGAGAAGGGUUACCCCCGGGUUACAAGGGCAGAUCCAAAGAGGAGCGACCUCCCAAGAGCAACCGAUACUCAUAAAGUCUGUCGAAGGCGGAAUUGAAGCCUGCAAUUCAACUCCAUGACUUCGAAACCGUUAGUAAA
rnacentral:rRNA from 1 species